rnacentral:tRNA from 1 species
GAGGGUACAGCUCAGUGGUAGAACAUGUGCUUAGCAUGUAUAAGGUCCUAGGUUCAAUCCCCAGUAUCUCCA